rnacentral:rRNA from 1 species
UACGUAGGGGGCAAGCGUUGUCCGGAAUCAUUGGGCGUAAAGAGCGUGUAGGCGGCCCGAUAAGUCCGCUGUGAAAGUCCAGGGCUCAACCCUGGGAUGCCGGUGGAUACUGUCGGGCUCGAGUCCGGAAGAGGAGUGUGGAAUUCCUGGUGUAGCGGUGAAUGCGUAGAUAUCAGGAGGAAUACCGAUGGCGAAGGCAGGUCUCUGGGCUAGAACUGACGCUCAUGCACGAAAGCGUGGGGAGCAAACAGG